AGUGGCGAACGGGUGAGUAAUAUAUCGGAACGUGCCCAGUCGUGGGGGAUAACGUAGAGAAAUUUACGCUAAUACCGCAUACGAUCUAAGGAUGAAAGCGGGGGACUCUGCAAAGAGCCUCGCGCGAUUGGAGCGGCUGAUAUCAGAUUAGGUUGUUGGUGAGGUAAAAGCUCACCAAGCCGACGAUCUGUAGCUGGUUUGAGAGAACGACCAGCCACACUGGGACUGAGACACGGCCCAGACUCCUACGGGAGGCAGCAGUGGGGAAUUUUGGACAAUGGGCGAAAGCCUGAUCCAGCAAUGCCGCGUGCAGGAAGAAGGCCUUCGGGUUGUAAACUGCUUUUGUACGGAACGAAAAGGUCUGCCCUAAUACGGCGGGCCCAUGACGGUACCGUAAGAAUAAGCACCGGCUAACUACGUGCCAGCAGCCGCGGUAAUACGUAGGGUGCGAGCGUUAAUCGGAAUUACUGGGCGUAAAGCGUGCGCAGGCGGUUAUGUAAGACAGUUGUGAAAUCCCCGGGCUCAACCUGGGAAUUGCAUCUGUGACUGCAUAGCUAGAGUACGGUAGAGGGGGAUGGAAUUCCGCGUGUAGCAGUGAAAUGCGUAGAUAU
rnacentral:rRNA from 1 species